GAUGAACGCUGGCGGCGUGCCUAAUACAUGCAAGUCGAGCGAACGGACGAGAAGCUUGCUUUUCUGAUGUUAGCGGCGGACGGGUGAGUAACAUGUGGAUAACCUACCUAUAAGACUGGGAUAACUUCGGGAAACCGGAGCUAAUACCGGAUAAUAUUUUGAACCGUAUGGUUCAAAAGUGAAAGACGAUCUUGCUGUCACUUAUAGAUGGAUCCGCGCUGCAUUAGCUAGUUGGUAAGGUAACGGCUUAUCAAGGCAACGAUGCGUAGCCGACCUGAGAGGGUGAUCGGCCACACUGGAACUUAGACACGGUCCAGACUCCUACGGGAGGCAGCAGUAGGGAAUCUUCCGCAAUGGGCGAAAGCCUGGCGGAGCAACGCCGCGUGAGUGAUGAAGGUCUUCGGAUCGUAAAACUCUGUUAUUAGGGAAGAACAUAUGUGUAAGUAACUGCGCACAUCGUGACGGUACCUAAUCAGAAAGCCACGGCUAACUACGUG
rnacentral:rRNA from 1 species